GGUAGGUGAAACCUGCGGGAAGGAUCAUUACAGGAGUUUCAUGCCCUUUACGGGUAGAUCUCCCAACCCUUGAAUACCUUACCUUUGUUGCUUUGGCGGGCCACGUCCGCGUACCGGCUUCGGCUGGUUGCGCCCGCCAGAGGACCCAAACUCGUUUGUUUAGUGAUGUCUGAGUACUAUAUAAUAGUUAAAACUUUCAACAACGGAUCUCUUGGUUCUGGCAUCGAUGAAGAACGCAGCGAAAUGCGAUAAGUAAUGUGAAUUGCAGAAUUCAGUGAAUCAUCGAAUCUUUGAACGCACAUUGCGCCCCUUGGUAUUCCGAGGGGCAUGCCUGUUCGAGCGUCAUUAUGACCACUCAAGCCCGGCUUGGUGUUGGGGUCCGCGGUCCCGCGGCCCUUAAAAUCAGUGGCGGCGCCAUCUGGCUCUCAGCGUAGUAAUACUCCUCGCUACAGGGUCCCGGUGGCUGCUUGCCAGCAACCCCCCAUCUCACGGUUGACCUCGGAUCAGGUAAGGGAUACCCCGCUGAWCUUAACCAUAUCAAUAA
rnacentral:rRNA from 1 species